rnacentral:lncRNA from 13 species
CUACACAUAUAUAUAUAUAUGUUUACUGCAUAGCUAGACCCACAGACAGUAUCACUGAAAUCUGUGGUGCUGAUGAGCUAUUGGAUAACAUUGCAGCAACAACAUCAAAGAUAAAAGCGGAUCCGACUGCAAACCUGUAUUUGGGUCAAAUGACCGAUACAUGCAGACAUGCAUUGGUUUAAUUUGACACAGGUAAUGAUGCAAAUAUCUGGUUCCAGGUCACACAUAAUAAGGACAGUGGUAAACUGCCGAGCUGAAGGGCUAAUCCCCUCGCUAACACGAUCACGCACCACACCACACCACAACACAUCAGCAUUCACCCACUGCAGCUAGCAGCAGCCUCGACAGCACACCACACACAGAUACUGGAAAACAUUCUUACCAUGUUUGUGGCAUUAAAAUGGUCAGACAGCGUAUGCAUGGAUGUAUCUAGUCAGUUAACCAUCCUAGUAAUAAUCCUUUAGGAAACAGGUAUAUAGGUAACGAUCCUUCAGAGAGAGAGACAAAGAAAGAGAGAGAGAGAGAGAGAAAGAAAGACAAAGAGAGAGAGAGAGAAAGAGAGAGAGAGAGAGAGAGGGAGAGAGNNNNNNNNNNNNNNNNNNNNNNNNNGAGAGACAUUCCUUUCUCAUAUACCUCUGGAACUAUCAGUCUAAUGUAAAGAGACAGUCCUUUCUCCUAUACCUCUGGAACUAUCAGUCUAAUGUAGAGAGACAUUCCUUUCUCCUAUACCUCUGGAACUAUCAGUCUAUUGUAGAGAGACAUCCCUCUCUCAUAUACCUCUGGAACUAUCAGUCUACUGUAAAGAGACAGUCCUUUCUCAUAUACCUCUGGAACUAUCAGUCUACUGUAGAGAGACAUCCCUCUCUCAUAUACCUCUGGAACUAUCAGUCUACUGUAAAGAGACAGUCCUUUCUCAUAUACCUCUGGAACUAUCAGUCUACUGUAAAGAGACAGUCCUUUCUCAUAUACCUCUGGAACUAUCAGUCUACUGUAGAGAGACAUUCCUUUCUCAUAUACCUCUGGAACUAUCAGUCUAAUGUAAAGAGACAGUCCUUUCUCCUAUACCUCUGGAACUAUCAGUCUAAUGGAGAGAGACAUUCCUUUCUCAUAUACCUCUGGAACUAUCAGUCUAAUGUAAAGAGACAGUCCUUUCUCCUAUACCUCUGGAACUAUCAGUCUAAUGUAGAGAGACAUUCCUUUCUCCUAUACCUCUGGAACUAUCAGUCUAUUGUAGAGAGACAUCCCUCUCUCAUAUACCUCUGGAACUAUCAGUCUACUGUAAAGAGACAGUCCUUUCUCAUAUACCUCUGGAACUAUCAGUCUACUGUAAAGAGACAUCCCUCUCUCAUAUACCUCUGGAACUAUCAGUCUAAUGUAAAGAGACAUCCCUCUCUCAUAUACCUCUGGAACUAUCAGUCUACUGUAGAGAGACAUCCCUCUCUCAUAUANNNNNNNNNNGACCAACACGUCAUUCCUAACCCUACCUACAAGCCAAAACAAAUACAUGGAGCAAAACCACCCCCAUCUGUUUGCCUUUGCUGUGUGUGAAAUAAAUUGGUCCUCAUUGCAUUCUGACCGACGCCCCAUGGUGGCAGCCACUGUCCUGAACCGAACUUCCAGUCCACCCUAGUCCUUUGUUUUAGAUAGAUUCUAUAAAUAAUGGUAAACAGAUCUAUACCAUAUACAUGUUCUAUAAAGAUUAGUAAACAGUCAUAUUACACUAUAGAUUCUUUAACCCAAUGAACCACACCGUAAAGCCAGCACGUUGUAGUUUAAAAAAAACUUCUAACCCCUUUUCAACACUGUGUGUUUGAGCUACAGACUUCUGGGUUGUACCAUUGGAUUCGUCUAGUUCUUGCAUCUGUAGAUCUCAACCAUUAAUCUGCUUUGCUUUAAUCUGUGAUGCUCACAAGCUACACAAGAGUCGUUAGAAGGGGUUCUUCUACAUAGAAGAUCAUAGGAAAUCCCAGGACAUAGUGUCUAUAAUACUGUAAGGGGUUCAUCUACAUAGAAGAUCAUAGGAAAUCCCAGGACAUAGUGUCUAUAAUACUGUAAGGGGUUCAUCUACAUAGAAGAUCAUAGGAAAUCCCAGGACAUAGUGUCNNNNNNNNNNUCCAAACAGUUGUCACUGUGUUGCAGCCUUGUUGUCGCAGCCUUGUGGGAAAAACUGAAGGCGAGAGAUGCUGCUUUUAAACACGGCAAGGUGACUGGGAACAAUUGUAUGGUUAAACAGUACAAAUACAACCUACACAGAUCGAUCAAAAUGGCGAGACGCAAAUAUGGGGACAAAGUGGAGGAGCAAUUCAGCGGGUCAGACACGAGUUCCUCUAUGUGGCAGGGACUUCAAAAACAAAGCCAGCUAGCUGUCGGCCCAGACGGCAUCCCUAGCCGCCUGGGCCGAUCAUGUGCAUACCAANNNNNNNNNNUCUACAUAGAAGAUCAUAGGAAAUCCCAGGACAUAGUGUCUAUAAUACUGUAAGGGGUUCAUCUACAUAGAAGAUCAUAGGAAAUCCCAGGACAUAGUGUCUAUAAUACUGUAAGGGGUUCAUCUACAUAGAAGAUCAUAGGAAAUCCCAGGACAUAGUGUCUAUAAUACUGUAAGGGGUUCAUCUACAUAGAAGAUCAUAGGAAAUCCCAGGACAUAGUGUCUGUAAUACUGUAAUAAGGUCACAUAGUUGCUGUCACAAACUCCAAACAGUUGUCACUGUGUUGCAGCCUUGUUGUCGCAGCCUUGUGGGAAAAACUGAAGGCGAGAGAUGCUGCUUUUAAACACGGCAAGGUGACUGGGAACAAUUGUAUGGUUAAACAGUACAAAUACAACCUACACAGAUCGAUCAAAAUGGCGAGACGCAAAUAUGGGGACAAAGUGGAGGAGCAAUUCAGCGGGUCAGACACGAGUUCCUCUAUGUGGCAGGGACUUCAAAAACAAAGCCAGCUAGCUGUCGGCCCAGACGGCAUCCCUAGCCGCCUGGGCCGAUCAUGUGCAUACCAACUAGCUGUUGUGUCUUGGACAUUUUAAAUCUCUCUCUAGUUCAGGCCGUUAUCCCCACCUGCUUCAAGAUGUCCACUACCAUCCCGUUCCCAAGAAAGGGAAAGUAAAUUAACUGAAUGACUACCGACCUGUAGCACUAAAUUUCGUCAUCAUGAAGUGCUUCGAGAUGCUAGUCAAAGACCCCAUCACCUCCUUCCUCCCUGACACACUCGACCCUCUCCAAUUCGCUAACCGCCCUGACAUAAUGAAGGAUGGUGCCAUUUCACUGCACACUGCCCUCACCCACCUGGAAAAAAAGGAAGGCAUGUGUGAGGAUGCUGUUCAGUGACUACAGCUCAGCCUUCAAUUCCAUCGGACUUCAAUACCGUUCUUCACCACAAAGCUCAAGGCCCUGGAACUUAACUCCUCCCUAUGAAACUGGGUCCUGGACUUCCUGACAGGCCAUCCCCAUGGUGACGGUAGACACUAUUACCUCCUCCGCACUGAUCCUCAACACUAAAGCCCCACAAGGGUGUGUUCUCAGUCCCCUCCUGUACUUCCUGUGUACCCACGACUGCGUGACCUCACCAAGUCCGAUCGCCAUCAUCAAGUUUGCUGAUGACACAAUCGUAGUAGGCCUGAUUACCAACAACGAUGAGGCGGCCCUCCCCCAACAGACAUUUACCCUGCCCCCAGCCCCAAUGGACAUUUAUCAUUGUUACAGUUAUAAAUGUUUUUAUUAUUUGCAUUAUUGUUUCAUUCACUUUCUCUUUUUGAGAGUUUAAGAAUUUCACUGUACCCUGCAAUUACAUCUGCGACCCUGUGCAUGUGACUAAUAAACUAAUUUGAGCUAAUCUGACUAGUUGGAUAUUCAUUUCCCAGUCAGCAAACAAAUUCAGUACUUACAGCAUUGACAUAAAUUCAUUUUUUCCUGAGGUUUUUGCUUUGCCAGACCUAAUUUUAUUUAUUGACAUAUGUCAAUGAAACUCAUGAAUGCAACUGUAUUUGAAAAUAAAAUGGUAAAACACUUCAUUGUGAGGCUAAAUAUAAGGGAUGCAUGCAGAGAAAUUAAAAGCCGAUUUUGGCUGGGGUCUUGGGACUGAUAGGGUUAAAGAAUGAAAGCCCUAUAUGCUAUAGAUGGGAUCUGAUUGGGUAUAGGUGGGAUCUGAUUGGGUACCAAAGAGAUGAAGAUUUCCAAUAUGCAGACGAUUUCUUUGCUAGAAAUUAUAUUAAAAAACAUGACCGGCGACACCCAGGCUGUUAAUUCAACUAUCACCCAGGCUGUCAAUUCAACUAUCACCCAGGCUGUUAAUUCAACUAUCNNNNNNNNNNAUCAUAGGAAAUCCCAGGACAUAGUGUCUAUAAUACUGUAAGGGGUUCAUCUACAUAGAAGAUCAUAGGAAAUCCCAGGACAUAGUGUCUAUAAUACUGUAAGGGGUUCAUCUACAUAGAAGAUCAUAGGAAAUCCCAGGACAUAGUGUCUGUAAUACUGUAAUAAGGUCACAUAGUUGCUGUCACAAACUCCAAACAGUUGUCACUGUGUUGCAGCCUUGUUGUCGCAGCCUUGUGGGAAAAACUGAAGGCGAGAGA